rnacentral:rRNA from 1 species
AGGGAGCAUAAGAAGGACUUGCAUAUGGUGUUCAUUGACUUGGAGAAGGCCUAUGAUAAGAUACCGCGGAAUGUCAUGUGGUGGGCCUUGGAGAAACACAAAGUCCCAGCAAAGUACAUUACCCUCAUCAAGGACAUGUACAAUAAUGUUGUGACAAGUGUUCGAACAAGUGAUGUCGACACCGAUGACUUCCCGAUUAAGAUAGGACUGCAUCAGGGGUCAGCUUUGAGCCCUUAUCUUUUUGCAUUGGUGAUGGAUGAGGUCACAAGGGGUAUACAAGGAGAUAUCCCAUGGUGUAUGCUCUUUGCGGAUAAUGUGGUGCUAGUUGACGAUAGUCGGAUGGGGGUAAAUAGGAAGUUAGAGUUAUGGAGACAAACCUUGGAAUCGAAAGGGUUUAGGCUUAGUAGAACUAAAACCGAGUACAUGAUGUGCGGUUUCAGUACUACUAUCUGUGAGGAGGAGGAGGUUAGCCUUGAUGGCCAGGUGGUACCUCGGAAGGACACCUUUCGGUAUUUGGGGUCAAUGUUGCAGGAGGAUGGGGGUAUUGAUGAAGAUGUGAACCAUCGAAUCAAAGCCGGAUGGAUGAAGUGGCGCCAAGCUUCUGGCAUUCUCUGUGACAAGAGAGUGCCACAAAAGCUAAAAGGCAAGUUCUACAGGACGGCGGUUCGACCCGUAAUGUUGUAUGGCGCGGAGUGUUGGCCGACUAAAAGGCGACAUGUUCAACAGUUAGGUGUGGCAGAGAUGCGUAUGUUGAGAUGGAUGUGUGGCCACACGAGGAAGGAUCGAGUCCGGAAUGAUGAUAUACGAGAUAGAGUUGGGGUAGCACCAAUUGAGGAGAAGCUUGUCCAACAUCGUUUGAGAUGGUUUGGGCAUAUUCAGCGCAGGCCUCCAGAAGCUCCAGUGCAUAGCGGACGGCUAAAGCGUGCGGAGAAUGUCAAGAGAGGGCGGGGUCGACCGAUUUUGACAUGGGAGGAGUCCGUUAAGAGAGACCUGAAGGAUUGGAGUAUCGACAAA